UUCACUAUAGGCGUGCGGAUGUGCAGUGCAGCGCCGGACGUCAUCCCUCCUGUGUAACUUUAGUUUUGUACCCAUUGACCAGGCUCUUCUCUCCCCUCCCCUCUGCCCUCUCGGCUUCUGGAACCACCACUCUGUCUUCUGUGCUUUAUGAGAUCAGCAGUUCUAGAUUCCGCAGGUGAGUGAGCUCGUGUUGUUUGUAUUUCGGUGCCUUGGUUUAUUUCACUUGACGUGCAGUGCUCCAGGUUCAUCUGUGUUGUCCUUUAUGGUGGAAUAGUAUUUCAUCGUGUCUGCACGCCACGUUUUCGUUACCCACUCAUCUGUUGGUGGACCCUUCGUUUGGUUCCCUGUCUUGGUUUUCGUGAGAGGUGCUGCGGUGCAUCUGAGCACAGUUAUCGCUUCAACACGCUGAUUUCAUUUUCCUCGGGAAUGCCUUGUUGCAGGCAAACGUCAACUGCCAAGAAAACGAAGAUGGAUUGAAUGGUCCAGGAAGUGAGCCAAUGCUGGCCGGUGAAGGACAAAGCUGGCCCCCGCCGUCUGAGCCCCGUCUGCCUCUCCCCGCUGCUCCCCACCCUGGUGCCUGCAGAGAGAGACGUGUUUUCACAUGUGGCCAGUCUCCUAUUUAGUUCCUGCUUUCCUAAUUUUCCAUUUUUUCUCCCCACAAAAACCAUCAUCCCAAUCACUCUUGUCUCUCCUGACUAGCCGGGGGUUGGUAAUUGAGGCUGCACACAAACCCUUCUCUCUUGCAUCCGACUCACACAUCCAUCCGCAGGGCUGAGCGGUGGGAAACCAGGUAUUGGUCAGCAUGACAGCCUUGACUAGGAAGUGACUAGCAAGCCACGUCUGGAUUACUGCUGGCAAACUGUGCAAGACUGCUCUGUUCCAGGAAUAGGGAAGAUGAUGACCAUGAAACUUGGAAAAAUUGGUUUGGGGCAAAUGCUCUGCUACGCGAUGCAUUUUCCUGCUACAGAGAAAGGGGUGAACAGGAGAGGGAAAGGUAACCCACACGGCCUCUGGUUAAGAAAGCCGAAGUUUCUGAAAUCCCUGAAAGGUGUGUGUUCAGGAUCUGAACUCCACACACACGUGGUCGAUGUUUAAUUUCUGGAUUCAUUUCAGAAAUGCAAGAUUGAAAACAAAACUGCGUAGAAA